UGAGUUACGUCAUCCUCAGUUUGCGGAUAGACGCUGGCGAGGAAAGACGCACUUAUUUUCUCUCGCUCUUCCUACUUAAUGUUGUGUGUGAUGUGGGAAGAGGUUGGCGCAACGAAAAAUAUUGAUCAAAUUGUCCCAUAUGUUUCCAGGGCGGGUCAAUAAAUUCAGCUGUUCUGAAGCCAUCCUGUUGUCUACUGUGUGAAAUUCGUUAUGUGCAGAAAGGGAUCUGCUACACAUAAUUACUU